rnacentral:lncRNA from 1 species
UUUGCCUGCCUAUCACCAACAGAGGCUGCAGAACAGCAAAGAUUGCUGUCUGUAACUUCCUCUGGAAGCUUCAUCCCAGAGGGGCACCUGCCAGAUGCCAGCCGGAGCUCUCCUCUAUGAGUGAAUGAAGGAGGGAAGAAAGGAGAGACAGAGAAAAUAUGGAUUUCCUCAUGGUUGUGAUUCCUCUUCACUCUUUUGAAUUUGGAAGGAUGGCAUACACAUCUGAAAAAUACCACUACUUCCUUCAUUGGACUGCAAGGUAUUUCUGUUUGGAAAAGUAAUGGAGUCCAGUCAACUUCAUUGAUCGCCAAGGACUGUCAAAAUUAUAAAACUUGCUGUGGAGCUCUGACAUGCCAGAAGCCGCUAGAAAAAGAAGUUUGACAUUCAGAAACUUAUCAAGAGGUUCUACUCUUUGGAUAGAGACCAAAAUCAUACUUUGAAAAAGCCUGACAGGUUUCUUCGGAAAAGUGGCCAUCCAUGGAAUGAAUGAAAUGUUCUCUUUCUAUUCCAGGGAUUGCAGUGGCAAAGCUAGGCUAGGUCUUGGAGGCUGGUGUAAGGCGAUGUGGGUGAAGGCAGGAGGCUGAUGGAAAGACUGGGGGGAAGAAAAGCCGAAAUGGAUUCACGGUGCCUUGGAUGAAGGACGAGAGGGGAACUGCAAGCUCCUUCAACUGGUUCUGUCCGGUGAGAAGUGAUCAAGCUUGGGCUGACAAGAGGCUCAGGGAGCCCUCACGUUCUUUCGCUUUUUUACCUGCCAAUCAAACUGCUACAAGACAACACCCUGAUCUGGCAUGGACAUCGCGGGUCCAAGCCUGUAGCCCCAAAUCGGAUAAUCUCUGCAGCUGAUAACAAGCAAAAGAGAAGCCAGGCAACAGCCAUAUUAAAGAAGAAAACAAUCAACUCUGAGAUCCAACUUAGAAAUAAUGUUUCAUUCAAGAUAAGGCUCGUGGCUUAGGAGAUUGUGACCUGGCUUGCAUCAUUCUAAGACUUCUAUCGUCUGUUUUCAAAACCCAAGGAGGACCUCCUUUUCUGUGUGAUAGUUCCUCAUGCUUUGCCAGCCACUGGGUCUUUAAGGAAGCUUGCCAAGAGUUCCCGGCUGGGAAGGACAGUUCGAGUUCAUCAUAGACAAUGAGCUGGCACCACAGUUUAAGUGACUCACCAACCUGGUUGCCCACUUCAAAAUGUCAAGAACCACACUAUCUAAUUGAAAGAACUGUGUUUUAGCAAAGUGUAAUUGGAUCGCCUGGCAAGAUCAUCUCAAACUAUGUCUCUGACCUUGCCUUUCAGUGGCUAUUUUGAGCACAAGAGGAGAAAGGAAAUGAUUCCUGAAUUAUAUCUUGUUUUUAAAAAUUAAGAUUAAUUAAUACUUGGUUUUAUGUUCAUUCCAUUGUAGGAACUUAGUGAUUAUUACAAAACAGUCAAAAUAGGUCAUAGCAAAAUGAACGUUUAAGAUUAGGUUAAAACAUUCCUCUGAAAUUUUAGUAUUCACUUUUGAAGUGUCAAUUACUAUAUUUCUGUAAUUUCUCAUUUUUUUCUUGGCUUAGAGUCAAGAUGAAAAAUGAUAUUUGAAUCAAAGACAUUGUUUUGUUAUAUAGCCACUCCUUUCUAAAAUGCAAAUCCACCCUCCCCUCACCAAUGCUUUAUUCUUUGUGCGCGCACACACACACACACACACACACACACACACACACACACACAGACAUACACAGAACCAGCACCCAAAUGGUAGAGGAGGUCCUUCCAAGACUUCUAGGACCUGGAUCAUGUAAGCAGUAGAUGAGAAAAUGAAGUAAGAGAUAUAGAGUAAUAACAAUAAAAGUCAAUGAUUUCAUUUUACAAAAAAGUCAUUGUGUAGUACUCAGAUAUUUUUAAGAGCAAGUAUUAUUAUGACUAAAGUAUAUUAUACUUCUAAAUUAUUAUGAUUCUCAUCUAAUUUCAAGCCACACAUAGGCGCCAUUUGAAAGCAUUUUGUGUUACAACCUAUCAACAAAAAUCAACUAAUAGUUUUAUAACGUGCAUAGGUUUACCCCAUGGGGAAUUAAAAUUUUUAUCUGCAAGUAUUUCUGUUGUUGUGAGACUUUAGGACAAGACAACAUUUGGUGUUAACAUAGAAGAAUAUUCUAUGGCUUUUUUAGCUUUAAAGUUCAUUACUCUAAAAUAAAGUACACGUGGUAUUUUUUUCUUCCUAGUGUUCUCUUAUUAUAUGUAGAGUAUUUUCGGUUGUUGUUUUUAACGUAUACAUUAUUUUUAUUAAGUCAUUUCAUAAAAGAUAAGAUAUAUACUAAUAGACCCUUGGUUUUCUCCUAAUUUAAUUAUUUCAAGUCAAGCAAAAUUGGGCAAUUUUCUUUCAGGAAAAAAAAAAUAUUGAGCAUGAUUUUGAGGUAAAACUGAUUAUUUACAGCAUCUUUUCUCUAAUAGGCUAACAUUUAUGAUGGAUCUUAUUUCAAAGUUGAUUAUUCUCAAAGAAAAGUGGAGAUAUUAGAAUUUCCGAGUAAAUUGCAUUGUUUUAAAAAGUACUUUAAUGCAUUGUUCACAUUGUUGCCAGCUAUUGACCAAAAAAGAGAAGAAGAAAAAAGAAAUAAAAAAAGCAGUAUCUGCUCCAAACGUCAAGUUUUGCAGUUUGAAAGACUUGUACAUUAUAAUUGUUUUUUUCUUUUUUGGAAAGCAGUAGUAAUUAAUACCAAAGGCAUAGACAAUUUAGGGCCAUAACCUCCCUUCCCCCCUCUCCACCUUUUUUUUUUUUUUUUUUUUUUUUUAACUUUAACCAUGAUAGGCAUCUCUGCAAGGUAGGUUUUAACAUAUUUUUUUCCUAAUUUUUUUCCCUCCAUUCAGUAAGAAGGAUAAGCUUUUAGAGUACCCAGUCACCGUGGUAACUGCCAAAAAAAUUCUCCUGAAGUUUGAAGAGGUCAGCUAGCAGGGUCAACAACCCUGGCCUCUCUCUGAGCUCGGUCUAGCAUGCCCCAGCCUGCGGUUGGAGUGUCAGGCCAGAUCUGACCCUGGGAGGUGGACCAUUCUGGCUCUGAUAUAAAUUUUUCGAGUCAGUUCAUGGCCUGGACUCUCCAGGUGGCCUCCAAAAUCGAUUUUGACCCCCUGACCCUGUCUCACGGAGGCAUAGCAUCCACCCUAAGUAAGGAUUUAGCCAGGAAUGACAGCUUUCCACUGAGUGUUAUUGGGGACAGUAUAAACAGUUUGGAAAGCAAGUAAGGAGGUGUGAGGGCUAGCAAUCAUUAAAAGCACAUUAAAAAACAAUUUUUAAAAAUCUUUAUUAGAGAAAGUUGUAAAUGCAUAUCUGUUACAGAAUUCCUGUGAUUUGUAGAGUUUUCUAGUCAGUUUUGAAUAUAAAUAGGUCACAUAUCUUUAUCUUUUUGCAUACUUUGUUACAAAUAUGCAAAUAAGAUAGGCAUACUUGCUACAAAAUAGGUACAGCAGGAAUGUAAUAUGUUCAGAAAAGGCAAACUGGUUAUUAAAACACAUUAACAGGUAAGGAGUUUCUAAUAUUUUAAAUACUAAAAUUUUACAUGUGUAUUUUGAAGUUUUUAAAAUGGAAAAAUAAAGAACCUUUAAAAAACCCAACAGUGUGGAAUAAAGAUAAACUUGUUGCACUCAAGGUACAUUUCUACUUUGUAAAGCAAGAAGCCAAUACACUCAGUUGGAUAAAAAUGAGAGAAAAAUUGUAAAUAUAGAGAGUUACAGCUUAUAGAGCUGAAGAGGAAUAAAACAAAAAAAAGUGUCUCUGAAUAACUUUAUGUAUUUUCAACAGUUUAAGAUAUCAGAAACUUGGAAAAUAAAUAUGAUAUAUAUAUAAAUCAUCAGUGAUUAUUUCCUUUUCAUUCCCCCCCGCCCCCAGGAUGCCACCGUGAGUGUUUGAUUUUCUCUAGGAAAGUAGAAUUCUCUUUGAGAGUUCUAGCCUGUGAACUCAGUAUGUAAAUGUGGCCAUCAAGAAGACAGAACUGCCAAGAGGAAAGAUUAUGAAUGUUUUUCUUCCUUAAAACCAUUCACAGUGUUUCUUCUUCCAGUGCUUUACUCAGACUUCUCCCCUUUUCCCAGCUCUGUUGAAAAUGGCUUCAAAAGCAACACUGCAGUGGCUAAACCAAUUGUACUGUGAAGUUGUUGAGAUGCCAUUUCAUCUGAAUCCUUCGUAAAAAUUAGAUUUUUAAGUAGGGGUGAAUAUCCUUUUGGGAGAGGGAAUGGGAGGGUAGAAGAAGGGGGGAAAGGACAGAGCAG